UACAGAGGUCUCAAGCGUUGUUCGGAUUCAUUGGGCGUAAAAGGUGCGUAGGCGGCGCGGUAAGUCGGGUGUGAAAUCUUGGAGCUUAACUCCGAAACUGCAUUCGAUACUGCCGUGCUUGAGGACUGGAGAGGAGACUGGAAUUUACGGUGUAGCGGUGAAAUGCGUAGAUAUCGUAAGGAAGACCAGUGGCGAAGGCGGGUCUCUGGACAGUUCCUGACGCUGAGGCACGAAGGCCAGGGGAGCAAACGGG
rnacentral:rRNA from 1 species